CUGUUAUGCUUCUGUCCUGCAGCCCCCCCAACCCUCUGACCACACCCCCGCAGGACUAUCCCAGGUGUGGGUAGACCGUUCUCGUCUGCUCAGGUUCUGUCACGAUACAAGAAACCUCACUUUAACAGUUCGGCAAAACCUUCGAUGGGGCUCAGAGGAACGGCGACAUACAGACAUCCUUCUGCUCAGACACAGGCUCCGUGAUGAGGACUUUCAGAGAGAGAUUAAUGCGUUAAGAAGGGAAAAAGUGGAGAUCUGCGGAAAGGAACAACUAGUGGAUAAUCCUUUGGAGAAUGCUCUGUAUCCUGAUAUUGAAGAAGAAAACUUGGUUGAUGCAAAGAGUGGGAA
rnacentral:lncRNA from 1 species